rnacentral:rRNA from 1 species
GGGUUGUGAGGUUAAGCGACUAAGCGUACACGGUGGAUGCCCUGGCAGUCAGAGGCGAUGAAGGGCGUGCUAAUCUGCGAUAAGCGCCGGUAAGGUGAUAUGAACCGUUAUAACCGGCGAUACCCGAAUGGGGAAACCCAGUGUGAUUCGUCACACUAUCAUUAACUGAAUCCAUAGGUUAAUGAGGCGAACCGGGGGAACUGAAACAUCUAAGUACCCCGAGGAAAAGAAAUCAACCGAGAUUCCCCCAGUAGCGGCGAGCGAACGGGGAGGAGCCCAGAGCCUGAAUCAGCAUGUGUGUUAGUGGAAGCGUCUGGAAAGGCGCGCGAUACAGGGUGACAGCCCCGUACACAAAAGCGCAUGUGCUGUGAGCUCGAUGAGUAGGGCGGGACACGUGGUAUCCUGUCUGAAUAUGGGGGGACCAUCCUCCAAGGCUAAAUACUCCUGACUGACCGAUAGUGAACCAGUACCGUGAGGGAAAGGCGAAAAGAACCCCGGCGAGGGGAGUGAAAAAGAACCUGAAACCGUGUACGUACAAGCAGUGGGAGCACCCUUUGGGGUGUGACUGCGUACCUUUUGUAUAAUGGGUCAGCGACUUAUAUUCUGUAGCAAGGUUAACCGUAUAGGGGAGCCGGAGGGAAACCGAGUCUUAACCGGGCGUUAAGUUGCAGGGUAUAGACCCGAAACCCGGUGAUCUAGCCAUGGGCAGGUUGAAGGUUGGGUAACACUAACUGGAGGACCGAACCGACUAAUGUUGAAAAAUUAGCGGAUGACCUGUGGCUGGGGGUGAAAGGCCAAUCAAACCGGGAGAUAGCUGGUUCUCCCCGAAAGCUAUUUAGGUAGCGCCUCGUGAACUCAUCUCCGGGGGUAGAGCACUGUUUCGGCUAGGGGGCCAUCCCGGCUUACCAACCCGAUGCAAACUGCGAAUACCGGAGAAUGUUAUCACGGGAGACACACGGCGGGUGCUAACGUCCGUCGUGAAGAGGGAAACAACCCAGACCGCCAGCUAAGGUCCCAAAGUCAUGGUUAAGUGGGAAACGAUGUGGGAAGGCCCAGACAGCCAGGAUGUUGGCUUAGAAGCAGCCAUCAUUUAAAGAAAGCGUAAUAGCUCACUGGUCGAGUCGGCCUGCGCGGAAGAUGUAACGGGGCUAAACCAUGCACCGAAGCUGCGGCAGCGACGCUGAUGCGUUGUUGGGUAGGGGAGCGUUCUGUAAGCCUGCGAAGGUGGCCUGUGAGGGUUGCUGGAGGUAUCAGAAGUGCGAAUGCUGACAUAAGUAACGAUAAAGCGGGUGAAAAGCCCGCUCGCCGGAAGACCAAGGGUUCCUGUCCAACGUUAAUCGGGGCAGGGUGAGUCGACCCCUAAGGCGAGGCCGAAAGGCGUAGUCGAUGGGAAACGGGUUAAUAUUCCCGUACUUGGUGUUACUGCGAAGGGGGGACGGAGAAGGCUAUGUUGGCCGGGCGACGGUUGUCCCGGUUUAAGCGUGUAGGUGUGUGUUCCAGGUAAAUCCGGUUCACUUUAACACUGAGGCGUGAUGACGAGGCACUACGGUGCUGAAGCAACAAAUGCCCUGCUUCCAGGAAAAGCCUCUAAGCAUCAGGUAACAUCAAAUCGUACCCCAAACCGACACAGGUGGUCAGGUAGAGAAUACCAAGGCGCUUGAGAGAACUCGGGUGAAGGAACUAGGCAAAAUGGUGCCGUAACUUCGGGAG